UACGUAGGGGGCUAGCGUUGUCCGUAUUUAUUGGGCGUAAAGAGCUCGUAGGCGGUUUGGUAAGUCGGGUGUGAAAUCUCCACGCUCAACGUGGAGGGGCCACUCGAUACUGCCAUGACUCGAGUCCGGUAGAGGAGUGUGGAAUUCCCGGUGUAGCGGUGAAAUGCGCAGAUAUCGGGAGGAACACCGGUGGCGAAGGCGGGUCUCUGGGCCGAUACUGACGCUGAGGAGCGAAAGCGUGGGGAGCGAACAGG
rnacentral:rRNA from 1 species